ACAGUGAAUAAAGUUAGGAAAGCAGUCAGGAAUAUGCAGAGGAAAGGAAGAGAAGAACCACAAUCAUAAACACCAAGGUUUAUAGUGGUCCGGUGCACUCCCAGCACCUACAUCCACUCCUCAAGCCUAGCUUGAGAUUUCACCAUAACCCAGCAGAUUACAACCUGAUUAUUUUCCGGUCUCACAAUCAAAACCCAGUUGGUUUUUCUAGGCAACCAACCGAAAACCUUUUGUUUUCCGAGAUCACAAACAACCCAGUUGGUUUUCAGACAAACCAACUAAAAACUUUACACCGUUUGUUUUUCCGGGCUCACAAACAACCCAGUUGGUUUUCAGAUAAACCAACCGAAAACUUUUUCUUGCUGACUAUUCCCAAUUUAGCAACUUCCAAUCGAGGUUUGGAAGAGCCAUCACAAGUCUCAAAUCAAUGAAACUAUUACAGUAGCAAUUAAUCCAACAAAAAGAAUGUUGUAACU
rnacentral:lncRNA from 1 species